rnacentral:rRNA from 1 species
AUUGAACGCUGGCGGGAGGCCUAACACAUGCAAGUCGAGCGAGCGACGGACGGGUGAGUAAUGUCUGGGAACCUGCUUGCGGGGGGGGAAUACCUACUGGCAACGGUAGCUAAUACCGCAUCCCAUCCGGUGUGCCUAGAUGGGGUUAGCUAGUGGGUGGGGUAACGGCCCACCUAGGCGACGAUCCCUAGCUGGUCUGAGAGGAUGACCAGCCACACUGGAACUGAGACACGGUCCAGACUCCUACGGGAGGCAGCAGUGGGGAAUAUUGCACAAUGGGCGCAAGCCUGAUGCAGCCAUGCCGCGUGUGUGAAGAAGGCCUUCGGGUUGUAAAGCACUUUCAGCGGGGAGGCGUUACCUGCAGAAGAAGCACCGGCUAACUCCGUGCCAGCAGCCGCGGUAAUAC